UGUUAUGAUGAGGGUAAGCGUGUAGUAGAGACGUUGAUGUUCGACUAUCACAGGCAGCAUGGCAUUGAAAUCCGGAUUGCCAGGAUUUUCAACACCUAUGGGCCUAGGAUGAACAUUGAUGAUGGCUGUGUUGUUAGCAACUUCAUUGAUCAGGCUGUGCGCGGUGAGCCCCUAACUGUCCAGAUGCCAGGAACACAGACUAGGAGUUUCUGCUAUGUUGCCGAUAUGGUUUGUCUUCCACUGC